rnacentral:tRNA from 1 species
UGAAUAAAAGUCAAAAAGAGACAAAUUAUUGUUAAUAAUUUUAAUGAAUUAUAAAUUCUUAUUCAA